rnacentral:misc_RNA from 1 species
AGAUGAAGAACGUAGUGAAAUGCGAUAAGUAAUGUGAAUUGCAGAAUUCAGUGAAUCAUCGAAUCUUUGAACGCAUCUUGUGCUCCUUGGUAUUCCGAGGAGCAUGCCUGUUUGAGUGUCAUUUAACUUCUCAACCAGACAUCAGAUUAUCUUUUGAUGCUUGGCUUGGAUCUGGGGGUUGUUUGCAGGCCUUCUUGUUCAAGGAGGUCGGCUCCCCUGAAAUGUAUUAGUGGUAUCUGAGGCUAUUGCUAUUAGGUGUGAUAAUUAUCUAUGUCUUUUGGCAUGCCCCAUGAACAGAUUACACUGCUUCCAACAAAAAAAAAACAAUUUUGAUGAAUUUGACCUCAAAUCAGGUAGGACUACCCGCUGAACUUAAGCAUAUCAAUAAGCGGAGGA